rnacentral:lncRNA from 1 species
CUUCCUCCACAAUUUUAAGGGCUGAUGUUUUGUUUCAGACACAAGGGCUCCUCUUGGUUGCUUUCUUGUCUUGGGAUACCUUACACCCACCUCUGACACACACGGAGGUUGGAAACUGUGAUAUGAAGCUGAGGAUUCUGAGCACAGGAGCCCCUCUAUGCCACUUGGAUGUCAUUAAAAGUGCUUUUCUGAUUACUACAACAGCUUGGAAACAAACCUCUCCAUCGCCCUCCAAUCCAGACUCUAGAUGGCAGCCUGAAUAAUAGUUUAGAAGUUCACAUUUGCCCAUCUCACUGUUACGCUUAAAAGUGUUCAUGGUCUCUCUUCAACUUGGAUGCAGUUCAGAGUCCUUCACGUCACAAUCAAGACUUUGUACGACACACUGCUAUAUUUAACAUGGAUAACCAACAAGGACCUACUGGAUAGCAUAUGAAACUCUGCUCAAUGUUAUGUGCCAGCCUGGAUGGGAGGGGAGUUUUGGGGGAGAAGGGACACAUGUAUAUGUGUGGCUGAGUCCCUUCACUGUUCACCUGAAACUAUCAUAACUGUUAAUUGGCUAUACUCCAACAGAAGAUAAAAAGUUCAAAAAAAUAAGGGAAAAGAAGAAAUUAAA